CCUACGGGAGGCAGCAGUGAGGAAUAUUGGUCAAUCGACGAGAGUCUGAACCAGCCAAGUAGCGUGAAGGAUGACUGCCCUAUGGGUUGUAAACUUCUUUUAUAUGGGAAUAAAAUGUUCCACGUGUGGGCUUUUGUAUGUACCAUAUGAAUAAGGAUCGGCUAACUCCGUGCCAGCAGCCGCGGUAAUACGGAGGAUCCGAGCGUUAUCCGGAUUUAUUGGGUUUAAAGGGAGCGUAGAUGGGUUGUUAAGUCAGUUGUGAAAGUUUGCGGCUCAACCGUAAAAUUGCAAUUGAUACUGGCAGUCUUGAGUACAGUUGAGGUAGGCGGAAUUCGUGGUGUAGCGGUGAAAUGCUUAGAUAUCACGAAGAACUCCGAUUGCGAAGGCAGCUUACUAAACUGCCACUGACAUUGAUGCUCGAAAGUGUGGGUAUCAAACAGGAUUAGAUACCCGUGUAGUC
rnacentral:rRNA from 1 species